AUUGAACGCUGGCGGCAUGCCUUACACAUGCAAGUCGAACGGUAACAGGUCUUCGGAUGCUGACGAGUGGCGAACGGGUGAGUAAUGCAUCGGAACGUGCCCAGUAGUGGGGGAUAGCCCGGCGAAAGCCGGAUUAACACCGCAUACGACCUGAGCGCGAAAGGGGGGGAUCGCAAGACCUCUCGCUAUUGGAGCGGCCGAUGUCAGAUUAGCUAGUUGGGGGGGUAAAGGCCUACCAAGGCAACUAUCUGUAGUUGGUCUGAGAGGACGACCAGCCACACUGGGACUGAGACACGGCCCAGACUCCUACGGGAGGCAGCAGUGGGGAAUUUUGGACAAUGGGCGCAAGCCUGAUCCAGCAAUGCCGCGUGCAGGAAGAAGGCCUUCGGGUUGUAAACUGCUUUUGUCAGGGAAGAAAUCUUCUGGGUUAAUACCUCGGGAGGAUGACGGUACCUGAAGAAUAAGCACCGGCUAACUACGUGCCAGCAGCCGCCGUAACAC
rnacentral:rRNA from 1 species